AGAGUUUGAUCCUGGCUCAGAAUGAACGCUGGCGGCGUGCUUAACACAUGCAAGUCGAACGAUGAAGCCUAGCUUGCUAGGUGGAUUAGUGGCGCACGGGUGAGUAAUAUAUAGAUAACGUGCCUCUUAGUCUGGGAUAGCCAUUGGAAACGAUGAUUAAUACUGGAUACUCCUUCUCUUUAUAAUAAGAGUUGGGAAAGUUUUUCGCUAAGAGAUCGGUCUAUAUCCCAUCAGCUUGUUGGUAGUGUAAGAGACUACCAAGGCAAUGACGGGUAGCGGGUUUGAGAGGAUGAUCCGCCACACUGGUACUGAGACACGGACCAGACUCCUACGGGAGGCAGCAGUGAGGAAUAUUGCACAAUGGAGGAAACUCUGAUGCAGCAACGCCGCGUGGAGGAUGACACUUUUCGGAGCGUAAACUCCUUUUAUAUGGGAAGAUAAUGACGGUACCAUAUGAAUAAGCACCGGCUAACUCCGUGCCAGCAGCCGCGGUAAUACGGAGGGUGCAAGCGUUACUCGGAAUCACUGGGCGUAAAGAGCAUGUAGGCGGGUUAAUAAGUUGGAAGUGAAAUCCUAUGGCUCAACCAUAGAACUGCUUUCAAAACUGUUAACCUAGAAUAUGGGAGAGGUAGAUGGAAUUUCUGGUGUAGGGGUAAAAUCCGUAGAGAUCAGAAGGAAUACCGAUUGCGAAGGCGAUCUACUGGAACAUUAUUGACGCUGAGAUGCGAAAGCGUGGGGAGCAAACAGGAUUAGAUACCCUGGUAGUCCACGCCCUAAACGAUGCACACUAGUUGUUGCUAUGCUAGACAUAGCAGUAAUGCAGUUAACACAUUAAGUGUGCCGCCUGGGGAGUACGGUCGCAAGAUUAAAACUCAAAGGAAUAGACGGGGACCCGCACAAGCGGUGGAGCAUGUGGUUUAAUUCGACUAUACGCGAAGAACCUUACCUGGACUUGACAUAGAUAGAAUAUAACAGAGAUGUAAUAGUGCUAGCUUGCUAGAACUAUCAUACAGGUGCUGCACGGCUGUCGUCAGCUCGUGUCGUGAGAUGUUGGGUUAAGUCCCGCAACGAGCGCAACCCUCGUGUUUAGUUACUAACAGUUCGGCUGAGGACUCUAGACAGACUGCCUGGGUAACCAGGAGGAAGGUGAGGACGACGUCAAGUCAUCAUGGCCCUUACGUCCAGGGCUACACACGUGCUACAAUGGGGCAUACAAAGAGCUGCGAUACCGCGAGGUGGAGCAAAUCUCAAAAAAUGCCUCCCGGUUCGGAUAGCAGUCUGCAACUCGACUGCUUGAAGUUGGAAUCGCUAGUAAUCGUAGAUCAGCAAUGCUACGGUGAAUACGUUCCCGGGUCUUGUACUCACCGCCCGUCACACCAUGGGAGUUGAACUCAUUCGAAGCGGGGAUGCUAAAGUAGCUACCCUCCACAGUGGAUUUAGUAACUGGGGUGAAGUCGAAACAAGGUAACC
rnacentral:rRNA from 1 species